rnacentral:rRNA from 1 species
AGCGAACGCUGGCGGCAGGCCUAACACAUGCAAGUCGAACGGACCCUUCGGGGUUAGUGGCGGACGGGUGAGUAACACGUGGGAACGUGCCUUUUGGUUCGGAACAACUCAGGGAAACUUGAGCUAAUACCGGAUGUGCCCUUCGGGGGAAAGAUUUAUCGCCAUUAGAGCGGCCCGCGUCUGAUUAGCUAGUUGGUAGG